rnacentral:snoRNA from 1 species
UGUGCCUAUAAUGAGGGUGUGUCAUGAAUCAAAGAUUAUGUUUAGUCCAAUUCUGUUUACUUGACAUU